ACGGAAGGCAGCAGUGGGGUAUAUUGCACAAUGGGGGAAACCCUGAUGCAGCAACGCCGCGUGAAGGAAGACGGUCUUCGGAUUGUAAACUUCUGUUCUUAGUGAAGAUAAUGACGGUAGCUAAGGAGUAAGCCACGGCUAACUACGUGCCAGCAGCCGCGGUAAUACGUAGGUGGCAAGCGUUGUCCGGAAUUACUGGGUGUAAAGGGAGCGCAGGCGGGAAAUCAAGUUGGAUGUGAAAUGUCGGGGCUUAACCCCGGAACUGCAUCCAAAACUGAUUUUCUUGAGUGAAGUAGAGGUAGGCGGAAUUCCGAGUGUAGCGGUGAAAUGCGUAGAUAUUCGGAGGAACACCAGUGGCGAAGGCGGCCUACUGGGCUUUAACUGACGCUGAGGCUCGAAAGUGUGGGGAGCAAACAGGAUUAGAUACCCUGGUA
rnacentral:rRNA from 1 species